AUAUUAUCCGUCAGUUUCCAAAGCAUUUUCAUGGAUCGGCGUGAACUGAUUGGCCCCCUCUCUGCCUCGCACCCAAGUGCAGCUACUCGCGGGCUCUUUACCCACAGCCUAAUCGCCUCAUUAGCAUAUCAACAAUAAUCCAAUUGCUCGCCAGCUCGACUAUCUGCCUCCGAACCAGGUAUAAAGGCCUCUCGGAGCCGCCAACUUGCUCCCGGAGCGCACGCCCCGCCAGUGAGCCCUGGAGAGCUCCCGAGCCCCGCCUCGCGCCCCUGCCCGUCCCCCCACCCCCAGGCCUCCCCAGUCCCCCACUCCGUCCCCUCCUAGAGGGAGCAGCCCGGCGCAGGGGCCAGGCUCUCAGCGCCGCUCCCCCACCUCUGCUGCUAAUAACGGCGCUGUCCUUCCGGCCCCCUCCCAUUUUAUUAGAAAUUACCCUUUUCGCAAUUAAACAGAACCACCACACCAAGAUCAGCGAAGUCACGCCAGGAUUUUUGCCCAAGAAAAGAUCGCCUCCGCCGGGGCAGCCACCACCUCGGCCGCAGAGCGUUGGGAGUUUUAUUGGCUUUGUGCUUCACCCCCAGGUUGGAGGUUUUGCCAAACGGCCUCCGUCGCUCGGCUGGGGUUUGCGAUUCUUUAAUUGCCGCGUGUAAAAUAAAAAUUGUACCCUGAAGAGGUUACUUGACA